GUGCUCGCUUCGGCAGCACGUAUACUACAGUUGGAACGAUACAGAGAAGAUGAGCAUGGCCCCUGUGCAAGGAUGACACGCACAUUCGUGAAGCGCUCCAUAUUUUA
ensembl:snRNA U6 U6 spliceosomal RNA